rnacentral:rRNA from 1 species
UACGUAGGUGGCAAGCGUUAUCCGGAUUUAUUGGGCGUAAAGCGAGCGCAGGCGGUUGCUUAGGUCUGAUGUGAAAGCCUUCGGCUUAACCGAAGAAGUGCAUCGGAAACCGGGCGACUUGAGUGCAGAAGAGGACAGUGGAACUCCAUGUGUAGCGGUGGAAUGCGUAGAUAUAUGGAAGAACACCAGUGGCGAAGGCGGCUGUCUGGUCUGCAACUGACGCUGAGGCUCGAAAGCAUGGGUAGCGA